UACGUAGGUGGCAAGCGUUGUCCGGAAUUAUUGGGCGUAAAGCGCGCGCAGGCGGUUCCUUAAGUCUGAUGUGAAAGCCCACGGCUCAACCGUGGAGGGUCAUUGGAAACUGGGGAACUUGAGUGCAGAAGAGGAAAGCGGAAUUCCACGUGUAGCGGUGAAAUGCGUAGAGAUGUGGAGGAGCACCAGUGGCGAAGGCGGCUUUCUGGUCUGUAACUGACGCUGAGGCGCGAAAGCCAGGGUAGCGAACCGG
rnacentral:misc_RNA from 1 species